GUUUCCGGGGGCCUUCCACACGCUGGUAGACGGUCUGAGAGGAUCUUGGGGACAGUUGUUGCUGUGCAGAGGGAGUCUCACUCCGUGGCCCAGGCUGGAGUACAGUGGCACAAUCUCGGCUCACUGCAACCUCUGCCUCCGGGGUUAGGUGAUUCUUCAGUCUCAGCCUCCUGAGUACCUGGGACUACAGGCAUGCACCACCAUGCUUGGCUAGUUCUUAUAGUUUUAGUAGAGACGCGGUUUCACCAUGUUGCCCAGGCUGGUCUCAAAGUGAGCUCAAAGAGAUCUGCCUGCCUCGGCCUCCCGAAGUGCUGGGAUUACAGGUGUGAGCCACCAUGCCCGACCAGUCCUGCAGCUCUUGCAUGGCAGAGGCAGAACUUGAACCUGGGUCUAUAUUGGACCCUAGAACCCACCACACUAGCCCUCACAUAUCCUGCUGUCUGCCACCUGGUUCCAUGACCUCAGCAUAUCCCUCAGCCUGUCUGGAUUUCGGAUGCCUCCAUUAUAAAAGGAGGAACUAGAGCCAGGACCCACUGGGGAGCCUGCUGCUCUCUGCUCUGAUAUCUCAUGUGUCAGUGGGUUGACGGCCAUGGGGCGAGUGGCCAGGACUCUAGUGGCAGCUCCGUGUCCCUAGAGGCCCCACCUUGGCUGCGAUCAUGUAAGGUGGGAUGAUGUCAAUGGCCAUCUCCUGGAACAGCUCCCGGCACUGCAUGGAGAUGAAGUCCCCUGCCAGAGGGGACUUGACGAUGCCUAGAAGGAAGGCACUGUCAGGACCUGGUCCUCCCGGGGCACCCCCGCCCCCUGCCGAAGCCCCACCUUGCUGCAGGACAUAGCCAUCAUGUACUGGAAUGGCCGUGGUGUGGGUGGCUCCACUGUCCAGCACGAGGCCCGUGGACCGCCCGUUUGCAAAGCUGGCAUCGAAUGGAAAGAAAAACAUUACAUCAGAGGAUCAGAAAUCAGAUGGUUUCAUCCUUCUUAAUGGCAACAAUAUAUGCUGGAAGAAGGACAAUGGAAAAGUGCCUUCAAGAUUCUGAAGAAUAAUGAUUUCCAACCUGGCAUGGGAUACGCAGCUAAGCUAUCAACUCAAGGUGUGAUCCAGGAUGGCUCUGAAGCACUCCCAGUCCUCGACUGGGGCCAGAAGAGCGGCGUGGAGAGACGCAAGAAGGCAGGCAGGAGACAGGGACAGGAAGAAAAGGAGGGAGAAAGGCCAAGCCCAAAGGAGGAGCUUCUGGGCGAUCUGGGAGAGCUCUGGGUCACUGGAAAGCCUGAAGAAGGGUCCGGAGCCCCUAGGAUUUGGAGAGGAGACUGGAAGGCUCACCUUGGGACAGUCCUCCCCAGCGUACCCAGCGCGGACUGAGAAGGAGCCAAUGUCAAAGACCAGCGCCCCCACCUCAUCUGUGCGGGGAGACAGGCCUGUUGAUCUCGAACUCCUGGCCUCAAGCGAUCCUCCCACCUCAGCCUUUCGAAGUGCCAGAAUUACAGGCGUGAGCCACUGCGCCCGACCUCUACCCCCUUACUUUUUAAAGCAGGAUUGGGGAGAGAGCUCCAGUCCCGAGAAGGGUCAUCUAUCUUCAGGCUGCUCUGAGCCCGGUUCUGCCACACCCAGGCCGAAAUGGAAUCACCCAGGACAGCUGGCGAUGAGGCCCCCAUCUGAUUCUGGAGUCAGUGUGUGGCUGAAAGCUGGGCAUACAGGACUAUUCAGGGAAACAAAGGCAUGGAGAGGUUGAGGAAUUUCCAAAGUCACUCAGCUGUAGAGACGGAGUUUCACCAUGUUGACCUCGGGGGAUCCACCCACCUGGGCCUCCUAAAUUGCUGGGAUUACAGGCGUGAGCCACCACGCCCAGUUCUUCAAGUUUCUACUACCAAGAUGACUUCACUGAAUAAGGAGCUGGGUGUACAAUGGGCACUCGUGACCUGGCAUGAGCGGAUGCCAGCACGCCACUGUCCAUGGGCAUCUAAGUUGGGAUAUUCAGUCAGCCAUUGGAUGUGCACCAAGUUGCCACAUGGGGAAGAGACAUCUGGGCUGGAGACAGAGGUUUGAGUGUUAUGAGCAAUUAGCAGGUAAAGUCACAGUAGUGGAUGAAGUCACCAAUGAAUAACAUGGAGAGAAGAGGAGGCCAAAUUCAGUAUUCUGGGAAAAACAAUGUUUGCAGAGUGCCCUGAGGAGGAGGAGAGGCUAAGAAGCCAGAACAGGUAGAGGAAGGAGGCCCUGUGACCCAUCAGAGCCACAUCUGCUACUUGCUCUCGAGGGUCCUGCCUGCUCAGAUAAGUUGGCUACUCAUUGGUCAUCACCUGGCAACUCUGUCCUUCCUUGCAUCUGGCCAAAUUCUUUUUCCUCUCUCUUUCCUCCUGUCCUCCUCAUUACCAUCUAAAUUAGCUCCAGUAGCUCCCAUCAAAAAUCAAAUAACGGCCGGGCGCGGUGGCUCAUGCCUGUAAUCCCAGCACUUUGGGAGGCCAAGGCGAGUGGAUCACCUGAGGUCUGGAGUUUGAGACCAGCCUGGCCAACAUGGUGAAACCCUGUCUCUACUAAAAAUAUCAAAAUGAGUCGGGCGUGGUGGCACAUGCCUGUAAUCCCAGCUACUUGGGAGGCUGAGGCAGGAGAAUUGCUUGAACCUGGGAAGUGGAAGUUGCAGUGAACCGAGAUUGCAGCACCACUACACUCCAG